rnacentral:tRNA from 1 species
UGCUAGCAUACACUAUACAGCAGAUACCACCCUAGCCUUCUCAU